rnacentral:rRNA from 1 species
GGCGGCGGCAAGAAGGCGUCGUGGCCGGAGGUGGUCGGGCUGCCGGCCGAUGAGGCAAGGGUCAUCCUCAAGGACAAGCCCGACGCCGACGUGAUCUUCGUGCCUUUCGGGGCGGGGGUGCAGCAGGACCUCAGGCUAAACCGCGUCCGCGUCUUCGUCGGCACCAUCGCCAGCGUGGUGACCGUCGUCCUCGCCCCCAAGGUUGGCUAG